ACUCCCAUUAGCUCCUGUGGAGCAUGCUAUCCUGAACAGUCACUUGAGACUGAAGCAGGCAGACUGCUGCUCAGUCCUGAAGUCAACACGUGCUGGUUCCAGGCUGUAGCAGGCCUGUCCUGCAUGUGAAUCCAGCGUGUUUAUUCAAAGGAACGUGGAAGGCCACUGGGCAGAAAUCCCCUGCUACCUGGUUUUGAUUUUUCUUUUGCAGAUCCUCUAGGGGAAGGAGCUGCAGCUCUGCUCUCUGGCUCUGACCAAACGGCUUGCAGGACUUAUUGAUCGCUCUGGAAACCGGACAGAACGAGACAGCUCUCUGCAAUAGUCUCCUCUGGGGUUUCUGAUCUUUACCACCACAGGAAAAAUAGAUACUACAAAUGAGAGAGAAGAUUCCUGCAGAGGAGUGUUGGGACUGCCAGGCAUGCCCUUUCCACUGCAGCUGGGUAUCACAGGGUGAGCAGCCCCUUUAAGGGCAAAUGGAGCCAGCCCCUCCUGGGCCAUAGCAACUGCCUCCCAGCCUGCAGAGGGGAGGGAUGGGGUCAGGUGUUAGUAUGGUGGUGAGCACCUGGGCCUCCUAAUGAGAAGGGCUGAGAGGGAUCAGUCUGGAGUGUGGAACCACAGGGAGCAGUUUAAGUUUAUGGAGGAAGCCCUGACCCAGGGAGAAGCUGCUGGGGAAGGGAUGCCAUAGGAAAGGAGUCUGCAGAGAGAAGACUGUGUGAGAAGAAAUGUGCAGUUAAAAGGAGUAAAGAAGAGCCCCUCAAGCCUGCUGGAGUAGAGGUGAUGUGCAGGGAACUUCAGUAAACCACAGGCUAUGAGAGGACUUGAGAGAAGGCACCCUGAGAGUCAGCUCUUUCUAACGGAGCUGGAAGGACUUGAUAGUAGCCCAGAAGGGCAAGAGCUGAGCCCAGGAAAUGGGCUGAAGACCAGACCGGAGAGGGGCAGCAGCAUGAUUUGUUUAGACAUUUUGUUUGCUCUUUAAUUGGACGUUUGUUACCUUGGAAGGGGACUGAACUUUCAGCGUGAUCUGGCCGGAGGGCUGAGUCGCCCAGAAGAAGACUGCUGCAGAAACAGCUCAGCUGACAAAAGGGGGCCCUCGAGUGGGAAGAAUCCCUGCAAUGCUGCAUCGUGGGCCGAGGGGGUGCUCAGGGGCAUGUCACCAUAUAGUCACCAGGAAAUGAUGUUAUGGCUCCUGUACACUUUUAUCUUCUUGAUGAAAAGAUGAUCAAGACUCUCUGGGCUGCAUGGUCCCGAUUCCCACCACACAAAGCAGAGUGCUGAUCAGCAGCCUCCUGAGAAAGAAACAUGUUCCCACUUCAGCCCUGCUCUCUGUGGAUAACUCAGGGUGCAAUGAAAAGC